rnacentral:tRNA from 1 species
ACUUAAGUAAUUUAUUUAAAAUAUUGAUUUGUGGAAUCAAAAAUACACUUUAUAUGUGUUUUAGGUA